rnacentral:rRNA from 1 species
GUCUGCGGCCAUCCCACCCUGCAUGAGCCCGAUCCCGUCUGGCCCUGGGAGCCGAGCAGGGCCGGGCCUGGCUGGCACUUGGCUGGGAGAGUCUUGAGCACCUGACACUGUGACA